rnacentral:rRNA from 1 species
UAGCAUAUCAAUAAGCGGAGGAAAAGAAACUAACAAGGAUUCCCCUAGUAACUGCGAGUGAAGCGGGAAAAGCUCAAAUUUAAAAUCUGGUGGCCUUUGACCAUCCGAGUUGUAAUUUAGAGAAGUGUCUUCCGCGCUGGACCGUGCACAAGUCUCCUGGAAUGGAGCGUCAUAGAGGGUGAGAAUCCCGUCUUUGGCACGGAUGCCCGGUGCUUCUGUGAUGCGCUCUCGACGAGUCGAGUUGUUUGGGAAUGCAGCUCAAAAUGGGUGGUGAACUCCAUCUAAAGCUAAAUAUUGGCGAGAGACCGAUAGCGAACAAGUACCGUGAGGGAAAGAUGAAAAGCACUUUGGAAAGAGAGUGAAACAGUACGUGAAAUUGUUGAAAGGGAAACGCUUGAAGUCAGUCGCGUCGACAGAGACUCAGCCUUGCCUCGGCUUGGUGUACUUCUCGGCUUGACGGGUCAGCAUCAAUUUUGAUCCUUGGAUAAUGGCAAGGGAAAGGUGGCACCUUUUUAGGUGUGUUAUAGUCCUCUGUCGCAUGCGAGGGUCGGGAUUGAGGAACUCAGCACGCGCCUCCGGGUGUCGGGGCCUCGGCCCACGUUACGUGCUUAGGAUGCUGGCGUAAUGGCUUUAAACGACCCGUCUUGAAACACGGACCAAGGAGUCUAACAUACCCGCGAGUGUUCGGGUGGAAAACCCGUGCGCGCAAUGAAAGUAAAAGUUGGGACCUCUGUCGUGGAGGGCACCGACGCCCGGACCAGACCUUCUGUGACGGCUCUGCGGUAGAGCGUGUAUGUUGGGACCCGAAAGAUGGUGAACUAUGCCUGAAUAGGGUGAAGCCAGAGGAAACUCUGGUGGAGGCUCGUAGCGAUUCUGACGUGCAAAUCGAUCGUCAAAUUUGGGUAUAGGGGCGAAAGACUAAUCGAACC